rnacentral:lncRNA from 1 species
GCUGCACCUGCAGCAUAUGGAAGUUCCUAGGCUAGGGGUCCAGUCUGAGCUACAGCUGUUGGCCUAUGCCACAGCCACAGCAAUGUAGGAUCUGAGCCUCAUCAGAGACCUACACCACAACUCAGAGUAAUGCCAGAUCCUUAACCCACUGAGCGAGGCCAGGAUCAAACCCACAACCUGAUGGUUCCUAGUUGGAUUUCUUUCUGCUGCACCACGAUGGGAACUCCUGGUUACCUCCACCCAGAAACCACCCAUGAGCACUCCGAACAAAAAAGUAGCCCCUACCCUUCUCUAUCCCUUUAACUUUAUUUAAUUUUUUCCCAUGAUAUUGUUACUACUUGACAUAACAUUAUCCAUCCAUCUACAUAAUUAAUUAUGUUAUUUAUAUGAAUUAUCAUCACAUAACUAAUUAUUAGAGAAAUAAACCAUUUAACAAGCUGAAAAUGAUACUUUUAAAAGGUAGUUUGGCUAUUCUUUGAAGUAGACAAGACUUUGAUGAAGAUCAGUGCUGUUCACAAUGUGGUUAUAGAGCAAGACUAAUCUAUGAGCCACUUGAGAUCCGACCACAAAGAAUAGAGAGCUUGCAUGAGGAUGCAAGUUAAAGUGCUGCUUCCUUCCUUGAGAAAGACAUACCAGGAAAAAGAUAUGAAAUGAACUAAACUGUGUGCUUAAUGGCAUAGUUGACUUACAUUCUGUUGCAGAUCAGUUACAAAGAGCUCAUGGAUCAGCACUUUUUGUUUUUUGCUUGUUUUAUUGCCAUUUUAGCUACUCCUGUGGCAUAUGAAGGUUCCUAGGCUAGGGGUUGAAUCAGAGUUGAACCGCUAGCUUGCACCACAGCCACAGCAACACCAGAUCCGAGCGGUGUCUGUGACCUACACUGCAGCUCACGGCAACAUCGGAUCCUUAACCCACUGAGUGAGGCAGGGAUUGAACCUGCAUCCUCACGGAUGCUAGUCAGAUUUGUUUCCACUGAGCCACAACUAGAACUCCUGGACCAGCAUUUUGAGUAACACUGAUGUAGAUCAUCUAGUCCAGGGUCCCUUGCAGCUUCUUACCUACAGCUGUGAAAACUAUUUUUUAAUCUCUCAAUAUACUUGGAGAUAAUUAAGCGUGCUGUGAGGAAGUCGCCCCUUCCACACACACAUAUAUGUGACAUAUACAUUAAUGACGACUUCGGAAUAUAUGUAUUGAUGACGUGUAUCAAGUGGAGGAGAGAGGAUAGAUAUGAAAGAAGACAAAACAGAUUUUCUAUUGAGAAUCAUACUGCAAUGUACAUGCACGAGUAUAAUUUGACAAAUCAGGUGUGCUAGAAAAAUAGGUAAUCUCUACUACCUGACAGAAGAAAUAAGCUUCUUUCAGGUUGAGGAUCAAAUUUCUCUCUCAUUUUAUAUCCCUACAGAAGAAGAUGCUACACAAAAAUCUUCACUCUUUGGCAUGCAAACAUUAUUAAUUCAGCAGAUAUUUACCCGUGUCCACCAUGAACCAGGGACUGGGGACCCAGUGGAAACAAGACAGAGAUUCUGGCUUUCCAGAAAUUCAACUUUCGUGGAGACAGAAAGAAAAACUAAUCAAAAUUGUUUUACAACCCAACUCUGUAUUUUCUAAGAGUAUUACUGAUGAUAUUAAUGACAAUAUAGGGUGUUCACAUUACCUGGCAUGAAAAUUAGGGGGUGUUAGUCCACCAAACUCCUUGAGACUUAGCAAGAGAGGAGAUGAAAUAAACCUCUAUUAUUACAAUAUCCUCUUUAGUCUCACAAAUUGACCUAUUUUUUUUAAAAAGAAAAAACUUCAACAUUACUUCCAAGAAAACACGCAGCCAUUCCAAAAUAUUUUUCUUUUUUUUUCAGUUUGAUGAUAUUUAUGAAUACCAUUUUCUAUAAAAAAUACAAAUACUCCAGUGGCUUUAAAGUAUUUUUCUAAGGAUGAAAAAUUUUAAAUGUCUUCAAUUUAAAAAAAAAGUUUCACGUGGUCCUUUAAUAUGAUUUAAACAAAAUACCCUCUUGCCCCUCUGCCCAACAGAACAAUACUUGAUACUCUGAACUUUUGUUUUAAAUUAAAGUUUAGCUGAUUUACAGUGUUGUGUCAAUUUCUGCUGUACACAUUCUUUUUCUCAUAAUUCAUCAUGUUCUAUCCUCAGAAGAUACAUGCACCUCUAUGUUCACUGCAGCACUAGUCAUAAUAGCUAAGACAUGGAAAUAACCUAAAUGUCCAUCAACAGAUGAAAAGAUUAAGAAGAUGAGGUACAUAUAUACAAUGGAAUACUAUUCAGCCAUGAAAAGAACAAAAUAAUGCCAUUUUCAGCAACAUGGAUGCAACUAGAGAUUCACAUACUAAGUGAAGUCAGAAAGACAAAUACCAUAUGAUACCACUUACAGAUGAAAACUAAAAUAUGGUAGAAACAGAUUCACAGACACAGAGAGCAGACUUUUGCCAAGGGGGAGUGGAAAGGAAGUGGGAUGGUCAGGGAGUUUGGGGUUAAUGGAUGCAAACUAUUAUAUUUAGAGUGGACACUCUGAACUUUGACACAGCCACGCACACAGUAGUCUCUAGACUACUGUUUUCUAUUGGUGAGAAGAGAAAAUCCUGACUCGGCCAAAAAAAAGCUUUCAUAGCUUAAAGACUGUGCUACUUAAUUAAAUCAGGCAUCCUAAAUGGAAAAGAUUUUCUAAUCUAUACUUGCAAACAUGCUGCUCUUUGGCAGCAUGCUUUUGAAAUUUUUCCUAAAAUAAUCACAUUGUGCUGGAUAAUUUUAAGCUGUGGCUAAGGGAAGUUUUCUGCUAUAGCUGACCCCCCCUGCUCUAGAGAGGGUUCCCGGGCGACCACUGUUCCUAUGUGCCUAUCCUACUAUGACUCAUGAGGGGCCAAGCUGCUUGCACUGAAAUUACAGGGGAGGUUUAAAACAUACAGAUUCUCAGGACUCAUCCUGGGUAACUUAGUCCAGAAACAGAGGCCUGUAAUGCCACGCUGUGGGGUUAGAAUUUUAUUUAGACAGCAACGCGGCUGCACCACAAACUUUGAGGCAGAGCAAGGCAUCACAGGAUUUACAUUAAAAUGAAAUAUGAAAGAUGGAUUAGAGGGUGAGCCAAACCCGAGAAGAGGAGAACAUUUAGGAAAGUCUAUAGGGAUCCAGAGUCAGUGAUUAGGGCCAGAAAAACUAAGUGGGAGGAAGGCAGUGUACAGAUUCAGGACAUUUUUUAGGAGGCAGAACUAAAGGAACAUGGUGAAUAAUUACAAGUGGUAGGUGUUGAAAAAACAGAAGGAGCUGACAAUGCCAUCCAUGCUCUGGCUUGGGUUACUGACUUAUGGGAUUUAACUGGGUUGGAGUGGGAAGAAAGAAAAACAAGUGAGAAUCAAAAAUUCAGGAACUCAUCUGGUGCUUUGAAGCACCCCUCUCCUUCUGCAUAAAGGAUAGCUCAGUAUCGCCUGCAAUUAGAGGAAAAGCUUUGGGUAUGUGUGUAACUCAGAACUGGGAUGGUUAUGCCAAAUCAUGGUUCCCUCCACUUCUGGAAAAAUAUUACAAAUUGGAAAGCAUGAAAAGACAUAUUUUGAAGACUCAUCCCAGUAUUGAUUCUAACAUUGGAACAACCUAUGUGUCAACCCCAGAAGAUUGGCUAAAUAAAUAACGAUACAUCUAUACACUGGAGAGCCAUGUAGCAAUUACUAAUGACAUCAUGACCAGGAUGUCUGUCUCCACGUUUAAAGAGAUAAGGGGACUGCAGAAUGGUUUAGACGGUGCGAUCUCCCCAUCCACAAACAGAAAAACACCUGAGAGAACAUAGAUUAAAAGCGUUUCUAUCUGAAUAGAUGAAUUAUAUGUUUUUCCUUU